rnacentral:rRNA from 1 species
UACAGAGGGUGCGAGCGUUGUUCGGAAUUAUUGGGCGUAAAGGGCGCGUAGGCGGUGCGGUAAGUCACCUGUGAAAUCUCCUGGCUCAACUGGGAGCUUGCAGGCGAAACUGCCGUGCUGGAGUGUGGGAGAGGUGCGUGGAAUUCCCGGUGUAGCGGUGAAAUGCGUAGAGAUCGGGAGGAACACCUGCGGCGAAAGCGGCUCACUGGACCAUAACUGACGCUGAUGCACGAAAGCUAGGGGAGCAAACAGG